GAAGAAAAAAUUAGAAGAAGGGGGUCACCUUUUUCUUCAUAAAAAAAACGAAAAAACGGAAGGAGGAGGUUUUUGGACUUCAUCCUCUUCUUCCUAAAAAAAAACUGAAAAGAAAAAAAAACUCUCACUCUCUCACAUCCAAAUGACCCCUUCCCCUUUGAAAUCCCGUAUUCUUCGACUUCUCUCCCCACCGGUUCUGCUUCAUCACCAACCAAAACUCCAGUUGAAAAUCAGUCCAAAUUCACCGGUUAAACAACCGCAAAAAGCAUCCCAGAACGCAGCAGAAACCAGCUGCGAAAAUAGCUUCAAAAUCAGUCCGAAAUCAGCUACGUGACAAUCAUUAAAGUGAGGUGAUGCUCGAGUUCGCCGAUUCGAGGUUCUGGUGAUAUCGCCUUUAGAAGUCACCGAUCCUGGUUCAGAUCUCAAGCAGAAUUAUUAAAUCGAAACUCUCUAUUGUACUUGGAUUUUGAUAGCUCCCAUUGCAAAUGAAUUUACGGCUGAUUGAGAUCGACGAUGGCAUUUGCGACGAAUCGGAACAGUGAAAUUAAGCCUUUUAUGAAACGGUGUUACUUUUUUGAGGUUGAUUCAUAAGCAUCACGACAAUGCUGAAGAUGAGAUUAUUUUUCCAGCACUUGAUAUUUUCCUUCUUGCUAAUAUGUUUGUGCUGUUUAAUUUUGUGGUAGCAUGUUUAAAUAACAAUCUGAAGCAAGUCAUUGAAUUAGCUAAUUUAGCUCAAGAAAUUUGGAGAGUUGUUCUAAUUUCGUUUCUUAGUUAUGUGUCAUGAUGUUUUGCUCUGUUUUAUGGAAGGUUCAGUAUCUAACUCA